ACAGAGGGUGCGAGCGUUGUCCGGAAUCACUGGGCGUAAAGGGCGCGUAGGUGGCGGCCCAAGUCGAUGGUGAAAGCUCGUCGCUCAACGACGAGUCGGCCACCGAUACUGGGUUGCUCGAGCACUGUAGGGGCAGAUGGAAUUCCGGGUGUAGCGGUGGAAUGCGUAGAGAUCCGGAAGAACACCGGUGGCGAAGGCGGUCUGCUGGGUUCUGGCUGACACUGAGGCGCGACAGCGUGGGGAGCAAACAGGA
rnacentral:rRNA from 1 species